AUCAUAUUCCAUAAUCGCAGCCGAGCCCCCGUUGACCUAGAACGGGAUUGGCCGGACGACGUACAAUCUUCGUCGUCCGAGAGACACCGAACGAGGGGCACAUCGACUGAAUAUACAUUGCGAUUCAAUAUUCAGUAUUGAUUCAGUAGGUAUUUUAUGACCGUGAUUGCAAUUUGCAUUUGAGCUCAGCAGUCGAGUAAGUUGUGCCAAAAAUACCAGAAGUGUUGCAUGCCCUGGAUGCAGGAAAACAAGAUUGAGAUGAGUGGAUCAAGAUGUAUCUUUCGUGCAGAUGUAUCAAGAUGUGCCUUUCAGGCGCAAGCUCUGGAUGAACUUCUGCGGUGACGUCGGCAUUCUUACAGGAGAACCCAAGAUUCGCUGUACCUGUAUGCAUUUCAAAACUGAAGAAUUGAUAGCAACAAGUAAAUAUUUGAAGUUGCAGCCAAAUGCUGUGCCUUCUCUGCUGCAAGAACUACAUGUCACCAUUGAAGCAAGGACCAGCUCGACUCCUGCAGUAGGACUCCAGCCUCGUCCAGUCGUCGCCGCUCGCCAAGACCUGCCGGACUCCUGCAAUAGGGGUCCAGGGCCCAGGCUGACCCGUUCGUCCAGUAACCGCCGCUCGUCAGCACCAGCUGGGCUCCUGUAGUAGGGGUCCAGCCUCGUCCAGUCGCCGCCGCUCGCCAAGACCAGCUGGGCUCCUGUAGUAUGGGGCUAGGAUGGCCCGUUCAUCAACCGGUCCUGAAGUCACAUCGCUGUCAGCCAGCCGAACUCAGUACAUAAGUCACCAACCCUGAAUGUUGCCAGCCAAAGUCGGCAGUUUCCUUCGGACAGUCAUCUCACCAGUGUUGUACAGUGUACAAGGUUAGUGACGCAGUUAAAUGCGUCAAUUAAAUGCGAGGACGUGCGCUUGUAUGCAGCGUUUUGUCAUGUUGAGCUGCAUGGGUGUCGAUUUUCACCGAAUUGAGGGUGCCCAGUGCCCACUGCCCGGGCGCAGCAAAUCCGCCGCCGCCUUAGCGGUGACCUUGACCCGCACCGUCUGUUGGGGCUCCAAAGCCAAGCCAGCCGAGCCGGAGGGGAAUUUAGAGAGCUUGAGCACCCCCAACCCGGCAGAAAUUGACACCUAUGUUGAGCUGUAUGGAUGCGUUUUAGCCUUCCCCGUGGUGGUAAAUAGCAGUCUACAUGCAGAAUUAGGCAGGCUUAUUAACGGACUCAUCAUUUGAUUCAUUGUGUCACCUUUGUCGGCACGUGUAAGAUGUGCUUAACUGCCAUUGGCUCUCGGCCUGGCGACUUCUGGGGACCACGUAAUGGGGAUGACAAUUGGGAUCCUGUGCCUUAAGCCGGCCAUUUACGUCCAUGGCUAUAUACCCUC
rnacentral:lncRNA from 1 species